rnacentral:lncRNA from 13 species
AUGGGGAGCUUCUUUAAGAAACACCUGACAGAAGACCCAGGUGGCCAGUGUGUUCCCAUUGGACUAGGAAGUGUACUUCCAGGAAGUGUUCCUAUUUCACCAGGAACUGUAGUAGGGCGUGGAGCAGGAUAUGUACUAUUAGGAAGGACACUUUCAAAAUGGCGUAUGGUAAAACCAGGAAGUGGAUCAACAGUUGGGACAGGGAGGGGACGUGGUCGGCCCCCUAAACACUUCACCAAACGGAGGAGACGAGUAUGGAGCCAGGUCUCCUCGAGUGAUACGACAGAGACGGACGAGACUGAGGAGGAAGAGGAACCAGUCUACACCGUUACCACCCAGUCGUUGGAGCACAGCCCUGGGGGAGGGGGAGAAGAUGGAGAAGGAUGGGCGGAACUACAGGAGUACGACGACGACGUGCCUGAACAAAUACCUCAGCCCUACCCGCAGAGCUGUUACCAGGGCGACCAUGGCAACCUCCAGUUCAUCAGGAUGAACGGCAACCAAAUUACCAUCACCCCUGGCCCCAGCCUCGCUUCUCAGGUAGUGAGUCACACACACAUCAUCAUCACCGUAUUCACAAAUUCGAUAGCUGGUGCUGAAUGGGACUUUUUACUGGGAAUCUAUUGCAUUGUCACAGCUUGGUGCGUAAAACCAAGCUAGUCCAUCAUUUUUUAGUAAAACCAAGCUAGUCCAUCUAUUUUAGUAAAACCAAGCUAGUCCAUCAAUUUUUAGUAAAACCAAGCUAGUCCAUCAAUUUUUAGUAAAACCAAGCUAGUCCAUCAAUUUUUAGUAAAACCAAGCUAGUCCAUCUAUUUUAGUAAAACCAAGCUAGUCCAUCUAUUUUAGUAAAACCAAGCUAGUCCAUUGAUUUAGUAAAACCAGCUCAUCAAUGUUUUUAUUUUAUUUUUCUCCCAAGGCCUCCGCAGUCCUGGAGCCUGCAGUUGAACCCCCGUCAGUUAACUA